GCAGAAGUGAGGAGACCUAAAGAGAGGGAUGAACUACUUAAAGCUUGAGGUCUGCCAGCAGAAAUUUGGAAUCACUUCUUUCUGACUUCUCCCAUUUUUCAGAAGAGAAUAACUUAACAGCAUCCUUGAAGGAAAAUGUCCUUUAAAAUCUGCACAUCAUGAGAAUGGAAU